ensembl:lncRNA
UAACUUUAUAACACAUCCAGUCAGCUCUGUAUUUCAACAUGCCAGGUAGACUGACUUUAUAACACAUCCAGUCAGCUCUGUAAUUCAACAUGCCAGGUAGACUGACUUUAUAACACAUCCAGUCAGCUCUGUAAUUCAACAUGCCAGGUAGACUAACUUUAUAACACAUCCAGUCAGCUCUGUAUUUCAACAUGCCAGGUAGACUGACUUUAUAACACAUCCAGUCAGCUCUGUAUUUCAACAUGCCAGGUAGACUGACUUUAUAACACAUCCAGUCAGCUCUGUAUUUCAACAUGCCAGGUAGACUGACUUUAUCCAGAAUGACUUACAGGAGCAAUUAGGGUUGAGUGCCUUGCUCAAGGGCACAGCGACAGAUUUUUCACCUAGUCGGCUCGGGGAUUCAAUCCAGCAACCUUUAGGUUACUGGCCCAUGUUCUUAACCACUAGGCUACCUGCUGAAGCUGGUUUAUAUAGACAAAGAACCAUAGUAGUAGUAUUUCACAUACUGCUAGAUAUCUAACUUACAU